rnacentral:rRNA from 1 species
AAGAUGACUCUCGGCAACGGAUAUCUCGGCUCAUGCAUCGAUGAAGAACGUAGCAAAAUGCGAUACUUGGUGUGAAUUGCAGAAUCCCGUGAACCAUUGAGUUUUUGAACGCAAGUUGCGCCCGAAGCCAUCCGGUUGAGGGCACGUCUGCCUGGGCGUCACGC